rnacentral:siRNA from 1 species
UGGUCGGCAUUCCUGAUCGGUGGA